CCUACGGGAGGCAGCAGUGGGGAAUAUUGGUCAAUGGGCGCAAGCCUGAACCAGCAACGCCGCGUGAGGGAUGAAGGUCCUCGGAUUGUAAACCUCUUUCAGCAGGGACGAAGCGAAAGUGACGGUACCUGCAAAAGAAGCACCGGCUAACUACGUGCCAGCAGCCGCGGUAAUACGUAGGGUGCAAGCGUUGUCCGGAUUUAUUGGGCGUAAAGAGCUCGUAGGCGGCAUGACACGUCGGAUGUGAAAACACGGUGCUUAACACCGUGCCUGCAUUCGAUACGGUCAAGCUAGAGGAUGUCAGGGGAAACUGGAAUUCCUGGUGUAGCGGUGAAAUGCGCAGAUAUCAGGAGGAACACCGGUGGCGAAGGCGGGUUUCUGGGACAUUACUGACGCUGAGGAGCGAAAGCGUGGGGGGCAAACAGGAUUAGAUACCCUGGUAGUCCACGCCGUAAACGGUGGGCACUAGUUGUGGGUCACAUUCCACGUGAUCUGUGACGCAGCUAACGCAUUAAGUGCCCCGCCUGGGGAGUACGGCCGCAAGGCUAAAACUCAAAGGAAUUGACGG
rnacentral:rRNA from 1 species